CUGAAUAGGCGGGCCUCGAUCC
rnacentral:tRNA from 1 species